rnacentral:rRNA from 1 species
GAUGAACGCUGGCGGCGUGCCUAAUACAUGCAAGUCGAGCGAACGGACGAGAAGCUUGCUUCUCUGAUGUUAGCGGCGGACGGGUGAGUAACACGUGGAUAACCUACCUAUAAGACUGGGAUAACUUCGGGAAACCGGAGCUAAUACCGGAUAAUAUUUUGAACCGCAUGGUUCAAAAGUGAAAGACGGUCUUGCUGUCACUUAUAGAUGGAUCCGCGCUGCAUUAGCUAGUUAGUAAGGUAACGGCUUACCAAGGCAACGAUGCAUAGCCGACCUGAGAGGGUGAUCGGCCACACUGGAACUGAGACACGGUCCAGACUCCUACGGGAGGCAGCAGUAGGGAAUCUUCCGCAAUGGGCGAAAGCCUGACGGAGCAACGCCGCGUGAGUGAUGAAGGUCUUCGGAUCGUAAAACUCUGUUAUUAGGGAAGAACAUAUGUGUAAGUAACUGUGCACAUCUUGACGGUACCUAAUCAGAAAGCCACGGCUAACUACGUG